CUUAUGCUACGAACAUAACCAGGAUUUCUAAUAGAAUUGGAAUUAAAUCUUAGAAUUAACUAUCAGAUUUUUAUUUAUUUUUGUAUUCAAUUGAAUCAAUGGGACUUCAAAAUUGAAUACUUUAAAAAUGUUAUAAACGAUUUUAUCUUUGGAAAUUUAUGAAAUCAUUUCGGCAUUGAAAUUUGGACAGCAUAAAUUUUAUUUCUUAGAAUUCAGUUGCAAUUUCUAUAAUUAAUUAUGUAAUUUAAAGAUGCCACAAAAAGUGAGCUGAAAAGUAAUCUGUUUAAUCUGUUUUUGUUGCUUGAACACAAAACUUAAUAACAUUAUAUAAGUAAACCCCAUUGAAGCAGUCAAACAAUGUGCCGGCGAAAAAGAAAGGAGCAGAGAUUUUAUUCUACUUUUUUUUUUUUUUGUUCAAUUAUGACAUGUGGGCGUUGUCCAACAAUGGGCGUUGCCAUAUCCUGUUUGUGUGUCUGUGUUUGUGUUUGCUUUUCAAUUAUCCUAGCUAAAAAUAAACCAAGCACGCACAACAACAGACCCAGCCGCAAAACACAGCAAUAAAUUGGCGCUUUUCAACACUCGCGCGACAAAAUGCCAAACGACGUCAUUAUGAUAAACAUGGUCUAGGUUCCGGCCGCUAAUUCUAUCAAAAUUCUGUUUAUCCAAAUAAAAAAAAAAAA